rnacentral:rRNA from 1 species
UACGUAGGGACCGAGCGUUGUCCGGAUUCAUUGGGCGUAAAGGGUGCGUAGGCGGCGCGGUAAGUCGGGUGUGAAAUCUUGGAGCUUAACUCCGAAACUGCAUUCGAUACUGCCGUGCUUGAGGACUGGAGAGGAGACUGGAAUUUACGGUGUAGCGGUGAAAUGCGUAGAUAUCGUAAGGAAGACCAGUGGCGAAGGCGGGUCUCUGGACAGUUCCUGACGCUGAGGAGCGAAAGCGUGGGGAGCGAACAGG